UUGAGGAAGUCUUCGGAUGGAAUUGAUAAGUUCUAGCGGCGGACGGGUGAGUAACGCGUGGGUAACCUGCCUCAUACAGGGGGAUAACAGUUAGAAAUGGCUGCUAAUACCGCAUAAGACCACAGUACUGCAUGGUACAGUGGUAAAAACUCCGGUGGUACAGGAUGGUCCCGCGUCUGAUUAGCCAGUUGGCAGGGUAACGGCCCACCAAGCCGACGAUCGGUAGCCGACCUGAGAGGGUGAUCGGCCACAUUGGGACUGAGACACGGCCCAAACUCC
rnacentral:rRNA from 1 species